UGGGGAAUCUUGGACAAUGGGGGCAACCCUGAUCCAGCCAUGCCGCGUGGGUGAAGAAGGCCUUAGGGUUGUAAAGCCCUUUCAGUCGUGACGAUGAUGACGGUAGCGACAGAAGAAGCCCCGGCUAACUCCGUGCCAGCAGCCGCGGUAAUACGGAGGGGGCUAGCGUUGUUCGGAUUUACUGGGCGUAAAGCGCGCGUAGGCGGCUUGGAUAGUUGGGAGUGAAAGCCCGGGGCUCAACCCCGGAACUGCUCUCAAAACUUCCAAGCUAGAGAUCUGGAGAGGAGGGUGGAAUUCCAAGUGUAGAGGUGAAAUUCGUAGAUAUUUGGAAGAACACCAGUGGCGAAGGCGACUCUCUGGCCAGAUACUGACGCUGAGGUGCGAAAGCGUGGGGAGCAAACAGGAUUAGAUACCCGUGUAGUCC
rnacentral:rRNA from 1 species